rnacentral:lncRNA from 1 species
GUUCCGGCUGCUCCUUAGGGAUCUCUGCCUCCUCACCAGCAGGCUGGGAGCCGGCCCUUCUCGCUGUUUCUGGCGUCUGCCUCCAGCAAGUCCUCCCGUUUCUCUACCUCUUCCCUCAUUUCCCGUCUGCCCAGCUUUGUGUGAAACCAGACGACAAAGGGUGUUCGGAUUAAGAGCCAGAUGUUAGAGAAAUUUCUGGAAUGUUCCAGGUACACCUAUGUCCUCCAACACGAAAGUUAAAGCAUGUCCUUGAGACUUCUCAGACACCACUGCCACUCUCUUAGCUGGUGGCUACCAUAUUGGACAGCACAGAUGUGGAACAUUGCCAUCGUUGCGGAAAUUUCUACUGGACUGCUUUAGAAACUCAAUCAGCAGCAGGUAGCUGAUGACCCGUCUGUGACUUCUGUUCUUCUGCCCAGUGGCACGUGAUUGGCAGGCAGAGCCAAACAGCCAAGGUACCCCUAACUACCAUAAUAAAGUUCUUGGCCUUGGAACCA